GGGUGGACCACUCGUGACAGACGCUUAUGAACCCCGUCAGGUCCGGAAGGAAGCAGCGGUAAAUAAGGCAGGCUGUGUCGUAAUGGUAUCUACCCGGA
rnacentral:SRP_RNA from 1 species